GACGAACGCUGGCGGCGUGCUUAACACAUGCAAGUCGAGCGAGGCCCCUCCUUCGGGAGGGUGUCCUAGCGGCGAACGGGUGAGUAACACGUGGGCAACCUGCCCUCAGCUCUGGGAUAACUCCGGGAAACGGGGGCUAAUACCGGACACGAUCUCCACGGACAUCUGCGGAGGUGGACAGCUUUUCGGCUGAGGAUGGGCCCGCGGCCUAUCAGCUAGUUGGUGGGGUAGUGGCCAACCACGGCGACGACGGGUAGCCGGCCUGGGAGGGCGAACAGCCCCACGGGGACUGAGAGAGGGCCCAGACUCCUACGUGAGGCAGUGGGGGGGAAUAUGGCGCAGUGGGGGAAAGCGUGACGCAGCGACGCCGGGGUUGGAACGAAGGCCUUCGGGUUGUAAACCUCUUUCAGCAGGGACGAAGCGAAAGUGACGGUACCUGCAGAAGAAGCACCGGCCAACUACGUG
rnacentral:rRNA from 1 species